UUCUAGUAUCAAAGGAGAGACACGUUAUUCCCAUAGACAAGGAUGGAACACAUAUAAAUGGUAAGGCGCUGUCGCCUUUCUGCGGUACUUACCAUUUAAAAAAUUUU